UACCCGCUGAGUUUAAGCAUAUCAAUAAGCGGAGNAAA
rnacentral:rRNA from 1 species